GAUGAACGCUAUCUACAGGCUUAACACAUGCAAGUCGAGGGGCAUCAGGAAGAAAGCUUGCUUUCUUUGCUGGCGACCGGCGCACGGGUGAGUAACACGUAUCCAACCUGCCCUUUACUCGGGGGUAGCCUUUCGAAAGAAAGAUUAAUACCCGAUAGCAUAAUGAUUCCGCAUGGUUUCAUUAUUAAAGGAUUCCGGUAAAGGAUGGGGAUGCGUUCCAUUAGGUUGUUGGUGAGGUAACGGCCCACCAAGCCUUCGAUGGAUAGGGGUUCUGAGAGGAAGGUCCCCCACAUUGGAACUGAGACACGGUCCAAACUCCUACGGGAGGCAGCAGUGAGGAAUAUUGGUCAAUGGGCGCUAGCCUGAACCAGCCAAGUAGCGUGAAGGAUGAAGGCUCUAUGGGUCGUAAACUUCUUUUAUAUAAGAAUAAAGUGCAGUAUGUAUACUGUUUUGUAUGUAUUAUAUGAAUAAGGAUCGGCUAACUCCGUGCCAGCAGCCGCGGUAAUACGGAGGAUCCGAGCGUUAUCCGGAUUUAUUGGGUUUAAAGGGAGCGUAGGUGGACUGGUAAGUCAGUUGUGAAAGUUUGCGGCUCAACCGUAAAAUUGCAGUUGAUACUGUCAGUCUUGAGUACAGUAGAGGUGGGCGGAAUUCGUGGUGUAGCGGUGAAAUGCUUAGAUAUCACGAAGAACUCCGAUUGCGAAGGCAGCUCACUGGACUGCAACUGACACUGAUGCUCGAAAGUGUGGGUAUCAAACAGGAUUAGAUACCCUGGUAGUCCACACAGUAAACGAUGAAUACUCGCUGUUUGCGAUAUACAGUAAGCGGCCAAGCGAAAGCAUUAAGUAUUCCACCUGGGGAGUACGCCGGCAACGGUGAAACUCAAAGGAAUUGACGGGGGCCCGCACAAGCGGAGGAACAUGUGGUUUAAUUCGAUGAUACGCGAGGAACCUUACCCGGGCUUAAAUUGCAGUGGAAUGAUGUGGAAACAUGUCAGUGAGCAAUCACCGCUGUGAAGGUGCUGCAUGGUUGUCGUCAGCUCGUGCCGUGAGGUGUCGGCUUAAGUGCCAUAACGAGCGCAACCCUUAUCUUUAGUUACUAACAGGUUAUGCUGAGGACUCUAGAGAGACUGCCGUCGUAAGAUGUGAGGAAGGUGGGGAUGACGUCAAAUCAGCACGGCCCUUACGUCCGGGGCUACACACGUGUUACAAUGGGGGGUACAGAAGGCAGCUAGCGGGUGACCGUAUGCUAAUCCCAAAAUCCUCUCUCAGUUCGGAUCGAAGUCUGCAACCCGACUUCGUGAAGCUGGAUUCGCUAGUAAUCGCGCAUCAGCCACGGCGCGGUGAAUACGUUCCCGGGCCUUGUACACACCGCCCGUCAAGCCAUGGGAGCCGGGGGUACCUGAAGUACGUAACCGCAAGGAUCGUCCUAGGGUAAAACUGGUGACUGGGGCUAAGUCGUA
rnacentral:rRNA from 1 species